rnacentral:tRNA from 1 species
GGGUCGUUAGCUCAGUUGGUAGAGCAGUUGACUUUUAAUCAAUUGGUCGCAGGUUCGAAUCCUGCACGACCA